CAAACGAUGACUCGACCAAGAUAAGACGAUGACAAAAGAAGCUAGUGACGUCAACCAUUGCCUACCAAGCUUUGAGGGACUGUUUUCAAGACGUCCACAGAACUCGUGAUAAAAAUUUUUUAAUAGGAACUUCUGAAAUAAAGCUAGUAAAUAAUAAAUUAAGACAAAUUUAAUAGAGAUAUCAAAAUGGUUUUCAGCGAGCGUAGAGUUUCUUUUUCAUAUAGUUUUACCAGGUGGCAAACGGGAGCGUACUAGUUAUUGGAAGCUAAACUAGAGAGAGCUCCGUAUGGAACCCCUUCCCCGAUAACCUACCAGUCCCAAGCCUGGAUGAAAGAGGAAGGUUGGGCGUGGGGCUAGCAACCCCACCCUGUAAAACAACCAUGCUACAGAAACGGCAAAUGCAAGAACUAGAGAGAAUUGGGAUACAACAACUGUCUCUUCUGGAAGAGAUGAAGAAUGAUAUAAAAGACCUUAAAAAGGAGGUUUGCACGGAUGGAGGAACAAAACCAGGGAGAACAAAUGACAUGGGAGAACUGCCAGAGGUGUUCCAGUUUCCCUUACAAUAAGCAGAAGAUGUAGAGCAUUUCAAGUAGAAGCUAAAGACGAAUCCAGAAAGAAGACACACCUGGAAUGCCAUUUGGCAAUGUAUGGGGGUUCACAUUAAAGCAUAUAUUGAGGGCCAAACAGUUCAGAUACUGCAAGAAAGCCUUAUCCUGAAUCUUAUAAAUGAUCGUCCACAUGGAUAUUUCUGGUUUUGCACUCUUUAUACUUGUGUUUAGUCAUGGCUGGGUAUGUUGUAUGCGUUUCUCAGCACUAGACGUCGCUGCAGUCUGUUGGGAGUGACAGAGAUGCGAUGCGUGCGAUUUGUUGAGUGGGCGGUAAAGCAGAACGAACAUAGAGAAGAAAUAUUUUAAGUAAAAUUUCUUCUUCGUUCAUGCCACGAACUAGGUUGUGACAAAGACAAUCAGCUCUCACGUACCUAAAAAAAUGUUGAGUGAAUGUAUGUCAUCCCCGCCGUAGAAGCCAUUACUAACAGCAUGUAUUGAUAAGUAGUGUAGUCAAGAAUCACGAGAACGCGAGAAAAGCCAAACAACCCACACCACAACUCAAAGACAGGUUUAAAAUUGCUUGGACAGACUCUUUAUUCACUGGUAUGCGGCUGAAAUAAUUAUUAAAGUGUUUUCAAAAUUUUAAACACAGUAGAAACAGACCACCCCGCAUUGAAAGCUAGUCUGUUUCUACAACGGCGUCCAAUGAGGGAACUUUGAAAGAAAUUGUCACUGCAAAUAGCUGCUGAUGCAAUGUUCAGUCUGUAUAUGAGCACCCACAAUUUGGGCAAAAAUCACACGAAUAACUUAAUGCAAGUUUUCAUACGUGUAAUAAAUAUCUAGGCAAAAAAA